GUGCUUGCUUCAGUAGCACAUAGACUUAAAUUGGAAUGAACAGAGAAGAUUAGCAUAGCCCCUCUGUAAGUAUGACAUGCAAAUUCCUGAAGUAUUCAAUUUUUAA